rnacentral:rRNA from 1 species
GAUGAACGCUGGCGGCGUGCCUAAUACAUGCAAGUCGAACGGACAGACGAGGAUCUUGCUCCUCUGACGUUAGCGGCGGACGGGUGAGUAACGCGUGGAUCACCUACCUAUCAGACUGGGAUAACUUCGAGAAACCGGAGCUAAUACCGGAUAAUAUAUUGAACCGCAUGGUUCGAUAGUAAAAGACGGUUUUGGUGUCACUUAUCGAUGGAUCCCAGCCGCAUUAGCUGGUUGUUAAGGUAAUGGCUUACCAAGGCAACGAUGCGUAGCCGACCUGAGAGGGUGAUCGGCCACACUGGAACUGAGACACGGUCCAGACUCCUACGGGAGGCAGCAGUAGGGAAUCUUCCGCAAUGGGCGAAAGCCUGACGGAGCAACGCCGCGUGAGUGAUGAAGGUCUUCGGAUCGUAAAACUCUGUUAUUAGGGAAGAACAAAUGUGUAAGUAACUAUGCACGUCUUGACGGUACCUAAUCAGAAAGCCACGGCUAACUACGUG